rnacentral:rRNA from 1 species
GUCCACGCCGUAAACGAUGGGUGCUAGGUGUGGGUGGUGUCGACUCCGUCCGUGCCGAAGCUAACGCAUUAAGCACCCCGCCUGGGGAGUACGGCCGCAAGGCUAAAACUCAAAGGAAUUGACGGGGGCCCGCACAAGCAGCGGAGCAUGUGGUUUAAUUCGACGCGACGCGAAGAACCUUACCAAGGCUUGACAUGACCAGGAAUGUCGUAGAAAUACGGCAGCCCUUCGGGGCCUGGCCACAGGUGGUGCAUGGCUGUCGU